CUGACAUUUAAUUUAGAUUACUGAUGGAUCUCCCUCUGUUCUUUCUAGAUUCUAUAGUCAGAUAAGUGAACACCUUUCUCAAACACAAAGCAAUUAAUGCCAUUUUUUGUUCAAAUUUAUCCAAAGAAUUCCCA
rnacentral:miRNA from 1 species